UGACCGCAACAUUAUUUGAGUAUCCUGAAAACGGGCUUUUCAGAAUGGUGUUGCAGUAAUAAAUAUUGUAGGAGUGCAUA
rnacentral:sRNA from 1 species